CAGCGACGUAGGACGUUUGAUCAAUUUCUCGGUCGACGCGAUUUUUGGAGUAAAUACCAUUUGUGUUUGCACCUUGACUGAGACAAAACUUUGACUCGAUGCACCGUUUGUAAGCGUAAAAUGGACGCGAAACGACGUCAAAUGUUGGUCCCUGGUCCACAUACAUCCUGAGAGCCACACACAGGGCCCAUUCACCGCCACCACCUCAGUGUGACGCACAGCCCACCUGGGAGCCGCGCGGCAGCCAUUUUGUGCCGGGAAGCUCACCGCACACAUCGGCGAGAUGGAGGGCUGCUUGUACGUGUCGGGGUCCAGCUCCUGGGACACGUCCUUCAUCCAGAGCAGGGCGCCUCGGUACUCCGUGCGCGACUUCUCCAUGCGCCCCACCGUCAGCAGCGUGUCUGUGAUGGCCCGCCGCCGAAACGUCUCCACCUCCUGCUCCAGCCGCUGCAGCGGGGCGCAGAGAGCCAGCCUGGGGGGACGCAUGUA